GGUUAAGCGACUAAGCGUACACGGUGGAUGCCCUGGCAGUCAGAGGCGAUGAAGGACGUGCUAAUCUGCGAAAAGCGCCGGCGAGGUGAUAUGAACCUUUGACCCGGCGAUGUCCGAAUGGGGAAACCCAGUGUGUUCCGACACACUAUCGUUAACUGAAUACAUAGGUUAACGAGGCGAACCGGGGGAACUGAAACAUCUAAGUACCCCGAGGAAAAGAAAUCAACCGAGAUUCCCCCAGUAGCGGCGAGCGAACGGGGAGCAGCCCAGAGUCUGAAUCAGCUUGUGUGUUAGUGGAACGGUCUGGAAAGUCCGACGGUACAGGGUGAUAGUCCCGUACACGAAAACACACAGGUUGUGAACUCGAAGAGUAGGGCGGGACACGUGGUAUCCUGUCUGAAUAUGGGGGGACCAUCCUCCAAGGCUAAAUACUCCUGACUGACCGAUAGUGAACCAGUACCGUGAGGG
rnacentral:rRNA from 1 species